UACGGGGGGUGCAAGCGUUGUCCGGAUUUAUUGGGUUUAAAGGGUGCGCAGGCGGCCCGUUAAGUCAGUGUUGAAAUACCGCAGCUCAACUGCGGGUCCGGCAUUGAUACUGACAGGCUUGAGUGCAGAGGAGGCAGGCGGAAUUUAUGGUGUAGCGGUGAAAUGCAUAGAUACCAUAAAGAACACCGAUAGCGAAGGCAGCUUGCCAUCCUGCAACUGACGCUGAGGCACGAAAGCGCGGGGAGCAAACAGG
rnacentral:rRNA from 1 species